GCCCUCGUAGCUCAAUCGGAUUCAGAGCGUUGGUCUACGGAACCGGAGGUUGCGGGUUCGAACCCCGCCGAGGGCA
rnacentral:tRNA from 2 species